rnacentral:rRNA from 1 species
GACGAACGCUGGCGGCGUGCUUAACACAUGCAAGUCGAACGAUGAACUUGGAGCUUGCUCUGGGGGAUUAGUGGCGAACGGGUGAGUAACACGUGAGUAACCUGCCCUGGACUCUGGGAUAACUUCGAGAAAUCGGAGCUAAUACCGGAUAGGACCUUGCACCGCAUGGUGUGGGGUGGAAAGUUUUUCGGUUUGGGAUGGACUCGCGGCCUAUCAGCUUGUUGGUGAGGUAAUGGCUCACCAAGGCGUCGACGGGUAGCCGGCCUGAGAGGGUGACCGGCCACACUGGGGCUGAGACACGGUCCAGACUCCUACGGGAGGCAGCAGUGGGGAAGAUUGCACAAUGGGCGCAAGCCUGAUGCAGCAACGCCGCGUGCGGGAUGACGGCCUUCGGGUUGUAAACCGCUUUUAGUAGGGAAGAAGCCUUCGGGUGACGGUACCUGCAGAAAAAGGACCGGCCAACUACGUGCCAGCCGCCGCCGUAAAAC